CUGGGUUUAAGUGGCUCAGGAGUGGGUCCAUUGGGUCUCUGUUGUGAACACUAUAAUGAACCUUUGGGUUCUAUAAAAUUCUGGGGGUAUCUUUGGCUGAGAGAGUAUCAGAUUCUCAACUUCAUGGUAUUUGUUAGUUAAUGUAGAUUGUAAAUCAAUAAGUUGUAGUUUAACUGAGAACAGGAUAAUAGAUCAAAAGAGUUUUGUGUAAAAUGAUUUUUUACAAAAUUAUAAAAGUUGUUAAUAAUGUCGUUAGUUCAUUCACUUCCCGCUAGUGGCGUUGUUAUACCAUGCGGUCAAAAUGGCAGUCGAAGCAACGUGCUGUAAUUGAAUUUUUGGUGUGUGAGAACGAAACAGUGGGAAACAUCCACAAGCGAUUUCAGAAGGUGUAUGGGGAUGUCGAUCGCAGCACAAUUUGUCGUUGGGAUAAUCGAUUAUCUGGGAAAAGUGGAGUCUCUUGUGGCGGCGGCGAAUAAUUGUCUGAGGAAUGCAGGUCCUGAGUUUUACAAGGCGGAUGUACAAGGACUGGUUAAGAAGUGGAAAAUAACAGUUGAGAGUUGAGGUACUGAUUGACUGACUAUGGCGCAACAGC